UAUGAAAUAUUAGUCACAAAAUUCCAUAAAAAGCUCUAGAAAUAUGGAGAAAGAAAAACAAAGGAAAAGAAGAAAGAAGCAAGGGGUAGGUUCGGCCAUGGCUCCAUAAAAUUGAGCCAUGGAAAGUUGAUGAAGAAAAAUUACUUCCUUAUAGUAUUCCAAGCAAGUGGAAGGUCCUCUACAACAUGGAGUAGUUGUUGGAGUAAGAAAAGCAUUGGUUGGGCAAGUUGGAAACUCUAGCCAAGUUGAAGAAGCAAGUGCAAAAAGAUUUUGGCGGAUUUGGAACGUGAAUUUGGAGUCGCAUAAGAAGCAGAAAAGGUACUCCUAGAUGAUUAGAAGACCUUACUGAAGAUGUUCCAGCGGAGAUGGCUAACUCCAUUUGUCCCGGAGGAUUGCCAGGUCCAAGUAUAUGCUAUGAUGUUUUGUUCUAUGUUAGAGACUUUGCAGACAAAGCAAUGGGUAUUGAGUUGUCAGUCUGUAAGCGGCUUCAGCAGCCGAUAUGUUAUUAUGUCUUAUGUCACGAGCCUUAUAUGAUGUCAGAGUUUACUUAUGAAAACAAAAUAUAUACAUAUUGGAGAGCUUACUAUGUAUUUCUUUCCUUACCGAUUCAAGAGUUUCUAUAUGUAACAAGAGUCAGCGGGUUCGCUCGGCUCCAGAUAUGGGGUCGGGUGCCCAUCACACCCUAGUAAAGUCGGGGUGUGACAAAAACAAGAAGAGAAAAAAAAAUAGAAUUUUAUGAAUAUCAAUACGUAUUUACAAGGAUAAUUUCUUCUGUCCUUUGUAUAGGACCUGGAAACCCGACCCAUCAUAUAAAACUUUAGGGAAAACAUCACCUACUGCCCAUCCAACCUAAUUUUAUUACGAGCCCAUACCCCUUCUGAAAGUAUUUUCGCUUAUGCCCAGCCCAUUUGAAAAAUAUAACCUAAACAUGCCCCCUCCUAAUUAGCACCUAUGCUGCCCAACUAACCCAACUCGGCCCUAAUCACUAUUCUUCACUUUGCCACGUUUGUUCAUGCUCCUUUUUUCAGGUGGAGUUUUGAAAUUGACAAAGGGAGAGUUGGUUGCAUCAGAUAACUUUCAUUAAUGGGUUCAUUGAUUCUUAUCCUUAUUUUUUGUUUUAUUUAAUGGUUUAUUUCAUACAGGAUCCUAGUUUUACAGAGUUUUUAGCAAUAGUUGUUUCUAAAAAAUUUCAAAAUCGUUAUUUUUAAUAUUUUUUCCAUGUUUUUUGCUCUUUUUUACUGUGUUGUUUUUUUGUUGGUUGUUUUUUAUGGGUCAUAAGCGUGUUACAUCUCAAUGGAGGGGCCAUUAUCGAGUUCUUACUGAUGUUGUUGAAUCUUUAGACGAAGGUGUAGGUAUAGAAGACUCUAUUUCUUCAAGGAUGUCGGUCCCAAAUUUUUCAUUGCACAUUGGUGACUCGCCAUCGGUUUCUGUGGGUAGCCCUAAACUGAAUCAGGGUGACCCAAAAUCGAGUGAUGACCCAAAACCCAAACACUCAGGGGAUGCUGAUGAAGCAGUGACAUAUAAAAAUGUUGAGAAUGUUAAAAGAAAUGGGAAGGAACAAGUAGUGCAUGAUGGUUCAGUUGAUGAGAAUUUGAGGAAUAAAAGAAAAAAGACCGUUGAAUCACAAGAUAUUCCUUAUGAAUCAAUUCCUGAAACAACACCCAAUACAACCCUUGCAACCCCUAAAAAUUUGAUGAUAUUAAGGUUGGUGAUUUUUAUAUAAAGAUGGAUAUUGACUAUAAGCCAAAGAUUGAGUGCAACACGAGCUGCAAUAUUAUUGGUGAUUUGCAUGACAAGUUGUUAACUAAGCAGCUUGCGCUAUUUAGAAAUACCUAUUUUGGGUAUUUCUUGGACAUACCUCCAAUUAUGGUACAGGGGCGAGUGUUGUACAAUCUAUUGAUGAGGGAGGUGCAUUUCUUGGAAGAUGAUGCACUGCACUUUGUGGUGAGUGGUGCCAAGCUGCAUUUUGGGUUGGGUGAGUUUGGUCUUGUUACGGGGUUAAAAUAUAAAGAUGGUACAUCUAUCACGGUCAAAUCAGUGUCCAAUCGGUUGGUGAAAAAGUACUUUAAGAGUUCAGCCAAUGACAUGGGGUCAGCUGGAGCAAUGUUUUAAUAAAAAAAUUUGGAGGUCCGAUGCUGACGCGGUGAAGAUGGUAGUUUUGUACUUUGUAAACACGUUCUUGUUUGCUACGUUGAAGACCAAAGUUGUUGAUAUGGGGUACUUUGAUUUGGUUGAGAGUGGUGAGUUCAAUAACUAUCCAUGGAGAUAGACGUGUUUAAGGCAAUAUUGAAUCGUGCUCGAACAAGUUCAGGACAAAGCCUUCGUUUAUCGACAUGGUGGAUUUCCUCUUUUAUUACGGAUCUGACUGUACGGGUGCUGCCCAACUUUGGGAGGUCAUUUUGCCGAGCAUGCCUUUGGCCUGACCCCUCGUAUUCUAAACUAGAAGAUAGAUAUAUUUGGCUUAUAACCUGAUCAGUUGAGGAAUGUAUUUCGAACCGAGGACGAGAGGUUGGUAUUAGACUUAGAUAGAUUACCAUUUGAUUGCCCAUGAGCCUUCUCAAAGUCAACGUUUCAGCGAUGGAUUCUUUUCCACACAAGCGCCAACGGGAGAUAUAGGUCAGAGUAGUCGUGGUGAUUGUGAAUCUAGAAAUGCUAUUUUGAAGAAGGAGUUAGAGGCGUAUCGACUUCAUGUUGAUUCAAAGUUUGGAGAGAUCCUUAAAGCUAUUGGGUAUCUGAACAAGAAAGUAGAUGCAAACCCUGAUUUGCCGGAGAAGAAGAAGGAUGAAUGUGCUUACUCUGGUGGGGCACAUACAUAUUUAAUGAUUUGGCUAUGGAUUUCAACCAAGAAGCGGGAGAUGUUCGGGGGGGGGGGGG